rnacentral:lncRNA from 1 species
GUUUGAUGUAACCUGCAUGUUUACUUUCUUAUGCUUUAAUCUUGGUUUGUACUUAUUUUCUAAAAUUAUGCUAUUUUGCUGCUUUUUUUCAGUUUGAAUAAGUCAAAAGAUGGAAGAAAGAUUCCAUUCUAUGAAGACAAAGGCCAAGUCACAAUCUUGCAAAAAUAAAAGGGCCUACACUUUUGGGAAUAUUUUGGUUAUUAUUUUU